CCUUGAAGGUGACACAUCUAGUUAUUAAGAGACCGCUGUCUUUCCAAUACAAGCCUGGCGACUUCAUUUACUUAAACAUACCAGCCAUUGCCAAGUAUGAGUGGCACCCGUUCACCAUCAGCAGUGCCCCAGAGCAGGAAGGUAAGUGUAUAAAAAAGUUUAGAUCAUCUUCCGUAGUAUUAGUAUGUUACCUCGUCCAAAUGAUGCUUCUCUCACAUCCCAUAAGAGGCCACAUCUGCAACAUAUGCUCGUAUACCUAUGUAAAACAUUUAUGUUUCAAUGAUCACAAUCAUGCGAAAGUACAAUUAUCAAUACUGUAAUGGGAUCAUCAAAAACUUUGUGAUUUCAACCUCAAAAAUAUGAAAAGUGUUAACACGUGAGGAGUGCCAACAUCAUAAAUUCCCUCCCUGAAGUGAUAUUUGAUUUUAUGUACUAGCAAUAAUGUGUUAGUUAGUUAAUUAAAGUGGUCUGAGCCAAUGUUUUUUUAUGUAUGAAUGUCCCUUUGAGUAAACUGGGUGAGUAGACACUUUAUUUGGGAUAUGUCCACAUCCUUGAAAUAACCAGGUGUCUUGUCCUUAUUCAAUGUAGAUACCUUCUGGCUUCACAUCCGAUCACUUGGCCAAUGGACUAAUAGCUUGUAUGAAUACAUCAGUAAAACAGAGUUUGUAAAGAGUCAGAAUGAUAAACGACUGACCCGAAAUCUGAAGAAGAGCAGAUAUCAGAGCCAGGUGUGAGCACUCACAAAAAAAUGGGUUAUUCUAAAGUAUUGUGGUUAGACUAUAAACUUAAAUAUACAUAAACUGCCUAUGUAAACAGUCCACUCCACAUAUAAAAGUAAUGAUAUUAUGUAAAGUAAUUGUAUCUAAAACUUUCUUGUUUUGUUUUUUUUCAACCAGGAGUCUCUUUUCAACUCACCCCGUUCUUCUGGAGGAAUUGCUUCUAAUGCAGAUGAUCUUAUUGAAUUGACCUCCUACCGACCAUGUAAAAAUGCAGUGGGGGAGGAUGUCCGCGUCAGUUUGGAUGUAGCUGGUUCACAAGUUCGUGAGGUUCGUGAAUCAGAAAUAUCUAUCUAAACAAAUCACAAUAACAAACAGUUGGCAAUGUUGAUGUCACCAUAUAGCAGAUUAUACUUUUCAAGAAUAUGGUAACUUGCUUUCUAUAAAUUGCCUUUAUGGCACUUCUGGUGGGUAUAAUCUGGACUGCAUAGAAUAUUACAUUUUGCUGCUGAGAUUUUGUACAAUACACUCUAACAAUAAUUGUAUGGAUUAUCUAGAUGUUCUGUGCAAGACUUGAGAUGGACGAGAUUGGUGGCCUUCUUAGAGUAUUGUACUCCGUGCUCUCAGAGCAACUUUAGUUGGAAAACUUCUGUUGGGGAGAGUAAUGAUAGUACUGAUUUUUUUUUUUUAAUUUUUUAUUUUUGCAGUGCAUUAAAGAAUGACAUAUAGGCCUGAGGUGCCCCAAAGGCAGUCCUCUGGCUGAGCUGUACUGUAUAUUUGACAUGCACAAUUUUUUAAUAUAGAGAACAGAAACGAUAGCAGUUACAUCCCUCUAUGCCACAUUUAGGAAGAGACAUUCUACAAGAGGGUUAAGCAUAGAGUGGAGUAACAGAUUAACAUUAGACUAGCCAAGCUUUAGGUAUAUGUUGUACAACAUGCUAUGAAACUGGCAGUGUCAGCAUAUUGAUAAAGUAGGUUUGACAAAUUAGUGAUUUAAAGCUGGGUUACGGUAUCACUGGGUGCAGAUAUAAUGCAGCUAUGCAUGGUAUGGCUCAAAAAGGAAAGUACCAGAUUCAGAUGCAGAGUAUAACUAUUAGGCAUGUGCUUCAGGAUAAGGUAUAAAGAGUUCACUCUGGUUUGGAGGGCUCAGUGUGUGGCCGUCUGCUCGCUUAGAAUCACAGUUCCAGCGGUGGCCGCAAGCCCUGCCAUGCCGCGAUGUCGUCAGCCAAUUCCCUCUGUGGGGUAGUCGCGUGUGCCUUCCAGCAGGUCACGGUAAGCCGUUGUCGCGGUCCCCCUGCGCUUUCUGCAUCUUUCACCCGUGUGGGCUUCUGCAUACCGCGGCAUCUGGGCUGCUAGUUGUUCGGUUUGUUGUUUAGCCCCGUGUUGGCUGAGGUGAGUGUCCAGGCGCUGCAGGCUGUGUUGGGGAUGUUUGGUGCAUAGGGUUUGUGAUCGCUUGUGCCAGCCGCCAUCCUCCGCCAUCUUGGAUGUACCUUGCUGCCUCAUGGCGUUGGGAGGUAGUAUUGGCCAGCUGCCUGUGCCACCCAGCGAGGACCGGGAUAACCCCCGCCGGUCCAGAGGGGGGGGGGUUAGAGGUGAGUACGGUGAGGUUUCCGUCUGCGAGGUUACCAACCAGGAGAGCGGCCGCCUCUCCCUGGCUCGGUCGCAGCUAGGCCUCAGGUUGGAAUCGUGGGGACCCGGUGAGUUGCGGGUACAAGAUUAGUAUUAAAACGUUUUCCUGGGUCUCCCCCACUCUGUAGUCACACUCCCAGCGGUGUGGGCGCGAUGAUUUGGGGUAUAUCCCCCGUUUUAGUGGCUGGCUUGCAGGAGCUAUUGUGCAGCACGUCCACUCUGCUAGGAAGCUAGGCUCCGCCCCCUGAUAGUACUGAUUUUCUCAAUUUCUGAACUGCAUGACAAUGGAUUAAAUGGACAAACAGCUGUCUCCACUUAAAUUUGAAUCAUUUUGUAUUUAAGUAAAUUUAAAGAGAAUUUAAAAUCAUAGGCCAACAUUGCUGAAUUGGAAAAAUCUUUAUAUCAGCUAGGUUUUUGGGUUGCUCUAAAACCUCACUUUCAAUUCCUGAAAAUGCACACCUUACUGGUUACUAGUUCAUACUUUACUGGUAGUUCUUUUCAGACUUAAUGAUAAUGAAUAUUUUUAUAUUCUCUCUGAAUUGUCAUUUAAUUGACUUUGACACUUGACUCAAUAACCCCAUCAAUAUAACUAAUUAUCUUAGAGGUCCACAUUUUUUUAUAUUGUAUUUCUUGUUAAAUGAACACUCACAGUACCAUAACCACUACAACCUGCUAUAGUGGUUAAGGUGCCAGGAGUGCCCUGGCUUCAUACCAAGAGAAUCCAGUUAGCUCUACAGAGCAAAGCAUAGCCAUGUAGGACUAUGUAAGACCAUAUAGCACAUUCUCAUGCCAACGAGUGGUCUCCUGUAUCAGCUGUGCUGUACUCUAAAGAGAAAUCUGGCUUACCCUGCUGGGGAGGACUAGAUGCGGCCACGUGCAUCCAGCAGGACCCAGGCAAGUUGCCAAACUAUACUAAAUCAUAGUGAUAUCGUAUGAUGCAAUUUACAUUUAGUCCCCUCUAUCCUGAAAUGUAUGUCCUGUCAUGGUUCUAAUUGGUUUCUUUCUUUCUGAAUAUGAUUUUGGUAAGUUUUCUAGUUGUUCCUUUUAUUUUGUAAUUUUUUGCUACACUUACCUUAACCUCUGAGUCUAACAUCUGAUUCACUGCUAGCUAGGGUUAGGUGAUUCCUAACAAUACUUAGGAACACAUCUGACACUGAUUAUUUAAGUAGCUAUCGAGGAACUUUGAUUGGUAUGUUACUGGGACUUUCCUAUUUUUUAUGUCACUACAGUUUGUAUUUCUCUAGUUAAACAAUGAUGGUGAUAAUUAUAUUAAUUUUGAGAAAGGAUCUUUAUUGAGCUGGAACGUUGAGACAGGACAGGACUGGAACUGAUGCCAUUUGAACAUGUUCCGUCCUUCCUAUAGCUUAGAUUUGGUGCUGUCAUUUUUAACCUUUCUUGCCAUAGACCAAUUAAUUAUUUCUCCCACCCCAGCUUCUUGUAUAUUACUGAUUUUGUUUUGGUUAUUUUCUUAUAUUUGCCAUCACACACCCUUUCUUUCAUGCAUUUGCCCAUGCACAAUUUUAAUAUGCAUUUUUGUGUGAGAUUCACUUGAUCUCAUUAUACUUCUCUUUAUUAUACCUUACUACUUAUUAAAACACCCAUUAAAAAAAAAAAAAAAAACAACAACAGCAACAUCGUACUUCGGCAAACUAUUGUGGUGAUGGUGUUUGGAGUGUUCUUUAAGGAGUUCAGUAAAAAUAUUUAAAAAGUGUAAUUUUUAUUUUAUCAUAAUCUUCUUAUCUAUUAUCAGAAUAUAAAAUUCAUGUCACUUUUUAGUGCAAUAACUGCAAGAUUACAGAUAACCCAGGAGUUCACAACAAGCCCCUACCCACUGUAUAUAUACACAAUAUCUCAUCUAACAGUAAACUGGUGCAGUAGAAUAGCACAAAAAGAGUAGAGGGUGUAUCUUUGAAUUUCGGGAAACUUUCAAGAGAAUUGUAUAAUUUAGUAUAAUAAAAUAAGUUUGGCAACUUUGCUAUUUGGCUCUAGAUUUUGCAAUUCCAUUGUCAGUUCUCAGCAGUACACAGUAUGGGGAUGUGCAUCCAUAGUCUUACAAUCUGAUUUUUUUUUUACCUGUAACUUGGUCAGCACAGCGGGAUGUCAAAGCCCGCUAUAGGAAAAUUAUUCUGAUACAGUAAUGCACACUCUUUAUGACUAGAAAUGUAAUUACCUUUCAAUUUUUACAGAUUUCCUUCAAGGUUGGUGAAAAUCACCGGUUGUGUAAUAUAAAAGUAAGCACCUUAAUGUUGAUGACCCAAUAUAUAUAUUUUUUUUUUUUUACUGUAUGGUAUACAUCUUUUAACCAGUAAUCAAACAGACAAGGGCUGUGGGGCAGAAACAGACCAGAGCUGGGAGGGAGACACCCAUGGUGGGGUGAGGGGACACAAGCAAACACAAAGCGGCUUAGGGGACACAGACAGACACAAAGGGGCUCAGAGGACACAAGCCGACACAAAGGGCUGAAGGGCCACAAGCAGGCACAGAAGAGCUGAGGGGACACAAAGAGAGGUUGGGUAAGGGACACACACUCUACAUCAACUAUACACACACAAACUGCAUUUACUAUACACACUGCAUCCACUAUAUAUACAUACACACACACAGUGAAUCUACUAUACACACACACUGUGAAUCUACUAUACACACACACUGUGAAUCUACUAUACACACACCUUGUGAAUCUACUGUACACACACACUGUGCAUUCACUACACGCAUUGCACCCAGUUCACACACUGCAUCCACUACACAGACACUGUAUGCACUACACACACAGCAUAACAUAAUGGAUAUGGGCAGGCUUUGGUGGGUGUCAUUUUUUGGGGGGAUGCAACAUUUCCUCCUUGGGCCCAGGCAGCACAAUGUGUUGGGUCAGCCCUGAUGGGGUGAUAUACUAAAUAAUCUCUAAUCAAUAGUUUGCCACUCAAGUCUCAGAUAAGUUGUAGCUCAUUGGUAUUAUUACAUAGGGACCCUACAUAAUAUGGCAGAUGUUCUGUUUGUCAUUGGUCUUUUUUCUCUGCUAAUUACAGUGCUACGUUGAUGGACCAUAUGGGACACCAACUCGUCAUAUCUUCACAUCAGAACAUGCUGUGCUGAUUGGAGCAGGGAUUGGAA